rnacentral:rRNA from 1 species
GGACAAUGGGCGCAAGCCUGAUCCAGCCAUGCCGCGUGGAUGAUGAAGGCCCUAGGGUUGUAAAGUCCUUUCGGCGGGGAAGAUAAUGACGGUACCCGCAGAAGAAGCCCCGGCUAACUUCGUGCCAGCAGCCGCGGUAAUACGAAGGGGGCUAGCGUUGCUCGGAAUCACUGGGCGUAAAGCGCACGUAGGCGGAUUCCUAAGUCGGUGGUGAAAUCCUGGAGCUCAACUCCAGAACUGCCUCCGAUACUGAGAGUCUCCGAGUCCGGGAGAGGUGAGUGGAACUGCAA